CCCCUUCACAAGUAUUACUUUCAGAGUCAUUUAAUUUUUUAUAUUCUUUUAGAGAUUCUAAAUACUUUUUUGUUUCUUCUAUCUCAGGGAUUUUUUGUAGAGUACAAAUUUUUAUAAUAAUUUGCUUCUAAUUCUAAUAUUUUGUCUUGAUCUCUUGUAAUUUGACCCUUAUCAUCAUAUAAUUGGGUUAUUGUUUUUCUACUCUGUCUAGAUUUUUCCAUCCCUAGAAAAUAUGCUGAAUUUUUUUUCUCCCUCUUCAACCCAUUUUACCCUUGCCCUUAUUCGGUUACCUUUUAUUUUCUCAUUAUAGAGUUUUCCUAUUUCAUUUUCUAUAUUUUCUACUUUCUGUACUAAAUUGCUUUUGUUUUUUGUCAUUGCAUGAUGAUUUGUCUAUAAUUUUAUUUAAUUCCGUUAACAUUUUUUCCAACUGGCUGAUUUGGUCUUUUUUAUUUUUAGCUUUUAUUUUACAAUAGUUGAUUGUCUGGUCUCUAACUUCAAUUUUGAAAUUGUCCCACAGAAUGUCAAGUUCAGUUUUAGUUUUUGCCUUGUUUUUAUAAUUUUUUAUUAUCUUAUUAAUUAUUUCAAUGUAGUCUUCAUUUUGAAGUACACUACUGUUAAGUUUCCAGUAUCCCCUUCCUUUUUGUCCUCUACUUAAAUUUAUUUUUAAGGAAACACAGUUGUGAUCUGUGUAUUGUAGUACUAUUGGUCUUAUAUCACAUGAAACACAGUUUUUGAAUACCUCAGGAGCAAUUAAAAAAUAAUCAAUUCUUGUCGACUCCGAUCUAUCUUUUCUACUCCAUGUAUAUUGAAUUUUGUUUGGAUUUCUGUUUCUCCACACAUCACUUAGUUUAAGGGACUUUAUAAGUUUAUUUAAAGUUGUGAGCAGGUUUUUUUUUAUUUUGGUGCUUAGAUUUGCUUUUUGAAUCAAUAUGGGAUAAAAUUUCGUUAAAAUCUCCUCCUAGAAUUAAUUGACCCAAACUUUUUUCUUCUAUU
rnacentral:lncRNA from 1 species